rnacentral:misc_RNA from 1 species
GGAGGUAGCACACCAAUGGAUAUAAUAGGUUUCUGAUAAAGCUCAGAAACCAAGCUGAACCAUUCGGAUUCAAACUCAACACAAUUUCGAAACAAUAUGACAUCACUUGCAUCAAUUGAAGCACCAAAUCUGGCUCCAUCAGAUGUACCUGAUUCAUCAGCUGGUGCUUCGAAAUUCUUCUUAAUCUCAUGCAGCCUAUACACAACUUUCGUUUCGAAAGGAAUCCAUUUUGGAACAACUGUAUAGUCC